UCCACAGCCAUCCCGGAAGGCUUCGGUGUGGCCUGUGCAACCCACCGAUUUUCAGCGCAACGCCAGGCAGAAUGACCCCAGUCAAAGCCCGUUGAAAUCAAUCAGCUGCAACCGGAGUAACUCUGCAGUGCGCGUCUGCGAUAUUUCAAGGAUGUACCUCCUCCGUGAAGUUUGGUGGUAGAUUUAUUGGGACACAAAGGGGUUUUGCAAAAUUGGUGCCGCUACAGCAAAUACAAGACAUGUUUACAGUUGGUAGAUUUUUCAAAUAUGUAUUGUUUUCAGGCUAUACACACACGGCAAAAAUCAGCGGUCAUAAAAAGCAGUAGGUAUUAAAAAUUAGUACAAUAUUAUUCAGAUGCAUCCUUCUAAACCAAUAGUUUUCGAUAGCACUUUAGCACUUUAAAGAUCAACUAGAUUUCCAAGGUAUGAGCUUUCAAGAGUCGAUGGGAAAUGAUGGCGCUCGAAGAAAAGCAAGCUUGCUUUGGGACUCCUGCUCAUUCACACACACCAAGUCUUCACGCGAUGUGUGAAGUCAAGUACCGAAGGGGGAGGGGGGAGAUGCAAUUUCUAUUCUGUCUACAGCGCUGACUGCAGUCUGAGAUGGACUCGCAGGAACAUGAAGAGGGUCACAGGGCCGGGGAAGGAAGGCUGCAGGGAGAAGAGAAAAUCAGACAAAAAUUGCUCUCCUUCUGCAAUCAGAAGUGCUUAUCGCAAGCAGAAAGGCAACUUAAGAUCCAAGACGAUGGCGCUUACUUCCAGUAAAGAAAAACCUGGGAAAACUUUACUCGGAGCUUUUGUGGAGAUCAAGGUAUAGAACUUUAGCCUCUCUGGCAAAAAG